CAGUCGCCGCGGUAAUACGUAGGUGGCAAGCGUUGUCCGGAAUUAUUGGGCGUAAAGCGCGCGCAGGCGGAUAGGUCAGUCUGUCUUAAAAGUUCGGGGCUUAACCCCGUGAUGGGAUGGAAACUGCCAAUCUAGAGUAUCGGAGAGGAAAGUGGAAUUCCUAGUGUAGCGGUGAAAUGCGUAGAUAUUAGGAAGAACACCAGUGGCGAAGGCGGCUUUCUGGACUGUAACUGACGCUGAGGCUCGAAAGCCAGGGGAGCGAACGGGAUUAGAUACCCCUGUAGUCCCUGUCUCUUAUACA
rnacentral:rRNA from 1 species